rnacentral:rRNA from 1 species
AACCAGCACCUCAAGUGGUCAGGAUGAUUAUUGGGCCUAAAGCAUCCGUAGCCGGCUUUGUGAGUUUUCGGUUAAAUCUGUACGCUCAACGUACAGGCUGCCGGGAAUACUGCAGAGCUAGGGAGUGGGAGAGGUAGACGGUACUCGGUAGGAAGGGGUAAAAUCCUUUGAUCUAUUGAUGACCACCUGUGGCGAAAGCGGCUACCUGGUCCGAUUUUGACGCUGAGGUGCGAAAGUGUGGGGAGCAAACAGG